GACGAACGCUGGCGGCGUGCUUAACACAUGCAAGUCGAACGGAAAGGCCCUGCUUUUGUGGGGUGCUCGAGUGGCGAACGGGUGAGUAACACGUGAGUAACCUGCCCUUGACUUUGGGAUAACUUCAGGAAACUGGGGCUAAUACCGGAUCGGAGCUCCUGCUGCAUGGUGGGGGUUGGAAAUUUUCGGCGGUUGGGGAUGGACUCGCGGCUUAUCAGCUUGUUGGUGGGGUAGUGGCUUACCAAGGCUUUGACGGGUAGCCGGCCUGAGAGGGUGACCGGCCACAUUGGGACUGAGAUACGGCCCAGACUCCUACGGGAGGCAGCAGUGGGGAAUAUUGCACAAUGGGCGGAAGCCUGAUGCAGCAACGCCGCGUGCGGGAUGACGGCCUUCGGGUUGUAAACCGCUUUCGCCUGUGACGAAGCGUGAGUGACGGUAAUGGGUAAAGAAGCACCGGCUAACUACGUG
rnacentral:rRNA from 1 species